GAUGAACGCUGGCGGCGUGCCUAAUACAUGCAAGUCGAGCGAACGGACGAGAAGCUUGCUUCUCUGAUGUUAGCGGCGGACGGGUGAGUAACACGUGGAUAACCUACCUAUAAGACUGGGAUAACUUCGGGAAACCGGAGCUAAUACCGGAUAAUAUUUUGAACCGCAUGGUUCAAAAGUGAAAGACGGUCUUGCUGUCACUUAUAGAUGGAUCCGCGCUGCAUUAGCUAGUUGGUAAGGUAACGGCUUACCAAGGCAACGAUGCAUAGCCGACCUGAGAGGGUGAUCGGCCACACUGGAACUGAGACACGGUCCAGACUCCUACGGGAGGCAGCAGUAGGGGAUCUUCCGCAAAGGGCGAAAGCCUGACGGAGCAACGCCGCGUGAGUGAUGAAGGUCUUCGGAUCGUAAAACUCUGUUAUUAGGGAAGAACAUAUGUGUAAGUAACUGUGCACAUCUUGACGGUACCUAAUCAGAAAGCCACGGCUAACUACGUG
rnacentral:rRNA from 1 species